GCCGGGGGUGGUGGCAGGCGCCUGUAGUCCCAGCUACUCGGGAGGCUGAGGCAGGAGAAUGGCGUGAACCUGGGAGGUGGAGCUUGCAGUGAGCAGAGAUCGCGCCACUGCACUCCAGCCUGGGCAACAGACUCCGUCUCAAAAAAAAAAAGAGAAGAAAUUAUUAUUAUUAUUAUUAUUUUGAGACAGUUUCACUCCUGUUGCCCAGGCUGGAGUGCAGUGGCAUGAUCUCGGCUCACUGCAACCUCUGCCUCCCGGGUUCAAGCGAUUCUCCUGCCUCA
rnacentral:sRNA from 1 species